rnacentral:rRNA from 1 species
GCGAGACCUUCGGGUCUAGCGGCGGACGGGUGAGUAACGCGUGGGAAUGUGCCCUUCUCUACGGAAUAGUCCCGGGAAACUGGGUUUAAUACCGUAUACGCCCUUCGGGGGAAAGAUUUAUCGGAGAAGGAUCAGCCCGCGUCUGAUUAGGUAGUUGGUGGGGUAAUGGCCUACCAAGCCUACGAUCAGUAGCUGGUUUUAGAGGAUGAUCAGCCACACUGGGACUGAGACACGGCCCAGACUCCUACGGGAGGCAGCAGUGGGGAAUCUUAGACAAUGGGCGCAAGCCUGAUCUAGCCAUGCCGCGUGAGUGAUGAAGGCCUUAGGGUCGUAAAACUCUUUCGCCAGGGAUGAUAAUGACAGUACCUGGUAAAGAAGCCCCGGCUAACUCCGUGCCAGCAGCCGCGGUAAUACGGAGGGGGCUAGCGUUGUUCGGAAUUACUGGGCGUAAAGCGCGCGUAGGCGGGCUAUUAAGUCAGAGGUGAAAUCCCACGGCUCAACCGUGGAACUGCCUUUGAUACUGGUAGCCUUGAGUUCGAGAGAGGUGAGUGGAAUUCCGAGUGUAGAGGUGAAAUUCGUAGAUAUUCGGAGGAACACCAGUGGCGAAGGCGGCUCACUGGCUCGAUACUGACGCUGAGGUGCGAAAGUGUGGGGAGCAAACAGGAUUAGAUACCCUGGUAGUCCACACCGUAAACGAUGAAUGCCAGUCGUCGGCAAGCAUGCUUGUCGGUGACACACCUAACGGAUUAAGCAUUCCGCCUGGGGAGUACGGUCGCAAGAUUAAAACUCAAAGGAAUUGA